rnacentral:rRNA from 1 species
CCAUAAGCGUCACGGCUUGUAGAGAGUUGUGAGAAAAGGUGCAAAUCACUGAGUGACGGGGCUGCGGCCCAUCAGCUAGUUGGUGCGGUAAUGGCGCACCGACGACGGGUAGGGGACCUGAGAGGGUGACCCCCCACACUGGGACUGAGACACGGCCCAGACUCCUACGGAGGCAGCAAGUGAGGAAUAUUGCACAAUGGGCGCAAGCCUGCUGCAGCGACGCCGCGUGGGUGAAGAAGGUCUUCGGAUCGUAAAGCCCUUUUCUGCGUGACGAGCAAGGACGGUAAGCGCAGGAAUAAGUCUCGGCUAACUACGUGCCAGCAGCCGCGGUAAAACGUAUGAGACAAACGUUAUCCGGAGUUACUGGGCGUAAAGGGCGUGUAGGCGGUUUAAGUCUGGCGUGAAAGCUCUCGGCUAAACCGGGAGCAGGUCGUUGCGAUACUGGCGAACUAGAGGAUAGUAGAGGCGGUGGAAUUCCGGGGUGUAGCGGUGAAUUGCGCAGAAAUCAGGAGGACACCGGUGGCGAAGGCGGGUCUCCUGGGCCGAUACUGACGCUGAGGAGGCGAAAGCGUGGGGAGCGAACAGGAUUAGAUACCCUGGUAGUCACGCUGUAAACGUUGGGCGCUAGGUGUGGGGGGCCUCUCCGGUUCUCUGUGCCGCAGCUAACGCAUUAAGCGCCCCGCCUGGGGAGUACGGCCGCAAGGCUAAAACUCAAAGGAAUUGACGGGGGCCCGCACAAGCAGCGGAGCGUGUGGUUUAAUUCGAGGCUACCCGAAGAACCUUACCUGGGUUUGACAUCACCGUAGUAGCGACGUGAAAGCGUUCGCGACCUUCGGGAGCGGUGACAGGUGCUGCAUGGCUGUCGUCAGCUCGUGUCGUGAGAUGUACGGUUAAGUCCGCAAACGAGCGCAACCCCCGGUCGUAGUUACAGGUGUCUACGACGACUGCCCGUGAGAAACGGGAGGAAGGUGGGGAUGACGUCAAGUCAGCAUGGCCUUGAUAUCCAGGGCGACACACACGCUACAAUGGACGGUACAAUCGGGAGCGAAAGCGCGAGCUGGAGCCAAUCCGGCAAAGCCGUUCGUAGUUCGGAUUGCAGGCUGCAACCCGCCUGCAUGAAGUUGGAGUUGCUAGUAACCGCCGGUCAGCCAAACGGCGGUGAAUACGUUCCCGGGCCUUGUACACACCGCCCGUCACGUCAUGGGAGCGGGUCACGCCUGAAGUCGGGAAGGCAACCGCAAGGCGCCUACCGCCGAGGGCAGGGCCGGUGACUGGGACGAAGUCGUAACAAGGUAGCUGUACCGGAAGGUGCGGCUGGAUCACCUCCUUAGCUAGACUUUGAU